UCAGUGGCAUCACUAACCAUUGGAGGUCAA
rnacentral:piRNA from 1 species